GCCAGGGCUUGAACAGGCACUUCAAGUAUGGGAUGCUGGCAUCAUAAGCAGUGUCUUAGCCCGCUGUGCCAUACACCAGUCCCCAGAACCAAGCUUUCUUUCUCCCUCCAAAUCUGAUAUCAGUGAAGUAAAGGAGUUUUGCUUGUCCUCAGAGAGGUGUCACAGACUUUUGUCAAACUUGGUUCACUGGGUGUGGUGAUAAAUAAUCUGCACGUGUGUUGAUGUGUUUUAUCAAGCUGAUGAGAGCCCUUGUACUCAGCUAAAGGCUGCUGGGGACCAUGUGCUAAUGGGGUGGACAUGCAGAACCAGUGACAGCCAGGUUACUCAUCAACAGAGAAAGUGUCUACACAAUGCCUCUUUAGUGGGGCAACGAGACCCAAAACAUCACCCUCACCCGUGGCCAGGAAGGGCAGGGGACACAGGCACAGCCCCCUGGGUGGCCACCCCUGGUCACAGUGCCUGAGCUGGAUGAGCUCAUAAUGCAGGUAGCGUCCAUGCCAGGGCUCUGCCGGGCCGGAGACAGAGGUACCAGGAAGAGUUCUCCAUCCGGAGGGCUUCCAGUGGGGGCUGUGAAUGCCAGGAUGGUGGGAGCCCUCUCUCCUGGGAAGGGAGCCUGUGUCUGAGUUGGAGUCCAAGGGACAGAGAUAUGCAAAUAUCGCGGUUUUCCAGUCCUGAAACAUUGAUAAGGUCUGAUAGAGUCAGAGGCACGGCGCUUGGCGGGUAGCGAGGAAGACUUUGGUGACGUAAGCAGAACGUGGUCCACGCCUCCGUCUCCGAGGGGAAAGGCAGGCGCAGCAUCAGACACGGGUGGCAGUGAGUCCCAGCGGGACAGACAGUCUUGGGUGGAAAUAAAGAGUUACUAGAUACUGUAA